rnacentral:rRNA from 1 species
GUCGCACGAGAAAGAGGGCUUUGGCUCUUGAGUAAAGUGGCGGACGGGUGAGUAACACGUGGGUAAUCUAUUUCUCGGCGGGGGAUAAUAGCCCGAAAGGGUUGUUAAUACCGCAUUCGUCGGCAGGGGCUUUGGCCCCUGUCGGGAAAGACGGCCUCUUCAUGAAAGCUGUCACCGGGAGAUGAGCCCGCGGCCCAUUAGCUAGUUGGUGAGGUAAUGGCUCACCAAGGCAAAGAUGGGUAGCUGGUCUGAGAGGAUGAUCAGCCACACUGGGACUGAGAUAUGGCCCAGACUCCUAUGGGAGGCAGUAGUGGGGAAUAUUGGGCAAUGGGCGUAAGCCUGUCCCAGCCACGCCGCGUGAGUGAUGAAGGCCUUUGGGUCGUAAAGCUCUGUGGGGAGGGACGAAUUAGCUUCGGGAAUAAUAUCUCGGAGCUGUGACGGUACCUCCUUAGCAAGCACCGGUUAACUCCGUGCCAGUAGUUGUGGUAAUAUGGAGGGUGCAAACGUUGCUCGGAAUUAUUGGGCGUAAAGCGCACGUAGGCGGCUUGUUGUGUCCGGUGUGAAAUUUCUCGGUUUAAUCGAGGAAGUGCAUUGGAAACUGGCAAGCUUGAGUACUGAAGAGGGCCGCGGAAUUCCCGGUGUAGAGGUGAAAUUUGUAGAUAUCGGGAGGAAUAUUAGUGGUGAAGGUGGUGGCCUGGGCAGAUACUGACGCUGAGGUGCGAAAGCGUGGGGAGUAAAUAGGAUUAGAUAUCCUGGUAGUCCACGCUGUAAAUGAUGGGUGCUAGGUGUUGUGGGUAUUGAUCCCUGCAGCGCCGCAGUUAAUGUAUUAAGCACCCCGCCUGGGGAGUAUGGCCGUAAGGCUAAAACUCAAAGGAAUUGACGGGGGCCCGCACAAGCGGUGGAGUAUGUGGUUCAAUUCGACUAUGUGAAGAAUUUUACCUGGGUUGGAAACCCCUCGAACCUCACAGAGAUGUGGGGGUGCCCUUCGGGGAACGAGGUGUUCAGGUGCUGCAUGGCUGUCGUCAGCUCGUGUUGUGAGAUGUUGGGUUAAGUCCCGCAACGAGCGUAACCCCUGUCGUUAGUUGCCAGUGGUUUGGUUGGGCACUCUAACGAGACUGCCGACGUUAAGUCGGAGGAAGGUGGGGGUGACGUCAAGUUUUCAUGGCCCUUAUGCCCAGGGCUACACACGUACUAUAAUGGCCGGUAUAAAGGGCUGCUACACCGUGAGGUGAAGCUAAUUCCAAAAAACCGGCCUCAGUUCGGAUUGGAGUCUGUAAUUUGACUCCAUGAAGUCGGAAUCGCUAGUAAUCCCUGAUUAGUAGGCAGGGGUGAAUAUGUUUCCGGGCCUUGUAUAUACCGCCCGUCACACCAUGGGAGUACGUUGCUCCAGAAGUGGCCGUGCUAAUUUGUAAGGGAGGCAGGUUUCUAAGGAGUGACGUGCGACUGGGGUGAAGUUGAAAUAAGGUA